rnacentral:lncRNA from 1 species
GGAUUAAAAGAUGAAUAAGAAAAACUAAUCUAGAUUGCCUAAAUCCUUUCAAUUUAUUUAUUUACAAAAUAAGUAUGACAGUGCGAAGGCAUUCCAGCCGUUAAUUUGAGCCCCUCGUGCACGCAAUCCACAUGUACUCCUUUUCUUUAUUUUUUAUUUACUUUUGUUCUUUUCAUUCUUCCAUCUGCCUUCUAUUCUUCUUUUUGUUUUGUUUUGUCUUAUCUUGU